AAAAAAGAAAAAGGAAAAAUAAAUCGUGCAAGAAAUUUAUUAGCUAAAAGGGCGGACCUGUUGUUUCUCGAUGUGGCUUAAAUUAAGAAACGUGAACAAGAUUUUGAAUAGGAAUGUUGUAACUAGGAAGAUGGUGAUUUUAGAUUGUUCAGUAUAACAUAACGUAAGGUAACGUAACGCGAGAUGCCAUCACUCUCAUGUUGCGUAACUUUGGCAAAAGGUUCGGUACACCUCCUCUCGCGUGGAGGAGACAUACAAAAAUAUCCUUGCGCAACGCGAGCACGACGUACGCGCAAAAUUAUAAUCCGGCACACGCAAUCGACGCGACGAGAUAAAUAAAGUAACAUUUAAUUUGCCGCGAGAGAUUGUGGGUCAGACUCUUACUCUGACUAUGAGCCUUUCCUGUGGUCUGAUAACUGGCGCGUUCGCUCGUCGUUAUUUUUAACUCGUCGUUACGAUGCUCACGAGUGCAUCAUCGAGGAUGAUCGAGGGGAUCGUGAAUGAAACGAGCAAUGGCGUGCACUGGAGCACACGCGUGAGACGUGAAUAUCAUGAGAAUAUCACGACUAUAUAGCUGACAUACUUUCGUGUAUCGAUUGUAAAUGACUGGCCAACUCCUGGAAACUGAUAACGGCAUGAUAAACCACGGCGGUAUUCACUUAACAAUAAUUAAUAUGCCAGAAUUAUGGCUUUUACCAUUAUUAUCUCAUAAGAAAGAUCUUAAAUAAAUCAAUAAUGUAGUAAUGAGUAUGAUAAUAAUACAAUUCACAGCAAGAAUUCAAUUAGAGAACGUGUAAAAUUGAUAUUUGAUGAUUGAAUAAAAAAUUGAUUUAAUAGUUA